UAUGGAGGGUGCAAGCGUUAAUCGGAAUUACUGGGCGUAAAGCGUGCGCAGGCGGCUAUGCAAGACAGAUGUGAAAUCCCCGGGCUCAACCUGGGAACUGCAUUUGUGACUGCAUAGCUAGAGUACGGUAGAGGGGGAUGGAAUUCCGCGUGUAGCAGUGAAAUGCGUAGAUAUGCGGAGGAACACCGAUGGCGAAGGCAAUCCCCUGGACCUGUACUGACGGUCAUGCACGAAAGCGUGGGGAGCAAACAGG
rnacentral:rRNA from 1 species